GUGCUCAUUUCAGCAGUAAAUAUACUAAAAUUGGAAUGAUACAGAGAAGAUUGGCAUGGCACCUGCACAAGGAUGACAUGCAAAUUCAGGAAACAUUCCAUAUUUUU
ensembl:snRNA U6 U6 spliceosomal RNA